UGGGGAAUCUUGGACAAUGGGGGAAACCCUGAUCCAGCCAUGCCGCGUGAGUGAUGAAGGCCUUCGGGUUGUAAAACUCUUUUACCAGGGAAGAUAAUGACUGUACCUGGAGAAUAAGCCCCGGCUAACUUCGUGCCAGCAGCCGCGGUAAUACGAAGGGGGCUAGCGUUGUUCGGAAUUACUGGGCGUAAAGCGCGCGCAGGCGGUUCUUCAAGUCAGGGGUGAAAGCCCAGAGCUCAACUCUGGAAUUGCCUUUGAAACUGUAGAACUUGAGUACGAGAGAGGUGAGUGGAAUUCCCAGUGUAGAGGUGAAAUUCGUAGAUAUUGGGAAGAACACCGGUGGCGAAGGCGGCUCACUGGCUCGUUACUGACGCUCAGGCGCGACAGCGUGGGGAUCAAACAGGAUUAGAUACCCCCGUAGUCC
rnacentral:rRNA from 1 species